CGCCCCCCGCGCUUGGCGCUGGGCCGCCGCGGCUCGGUUGUCCGGGGAGGUGCGGGGCGCCGCUGGCGUGGGCGUCCGAACGAGAGAGGAGGGGGAGGGGGACACGGAGAGAAAAGUUGUCACAGCUCUAGUGUGAGGUGAAGAGAAAGUUUACAGGACAGAAAACGGUCCCUGAAUCAAUCAUCUGUGAUAGAAAAGGUGUCAUCUUAUGAAAGUACGGGUGCUUUUCCAUCAUUACAGCUCUCCAGAACAUUUUAAAAGACCACCUCAUGAACAGUUUGCAAAGGGAACCUGGCCAGUACAUUGUACAGAAGACUCCAGACUUCCUGGCUCCUACCCAGCCCCAAGCAGUUUAACUUGAGAAGGAAAGACCAGGGAGGUUCACUUUUUAGCCAAGAGAUCAUGCCCGACACUUUGACCAUGGAAAGAGUUUGUCUACAAAUACUUAUAAUGAUGAUUAUAAUAAUGCUGCUGAUAAUGAUGAUAGUAUAUUAUGCCAAUCAUGUUUUUUCACAUUUGAGAAGCUGAGUACAGCCCAUUUACUCUCUUGCUCUUUAUCACUCUUUUUUUUUUUUUUUUUAAGUAAUACCCCUUGAGGCUCGGGAGACAGACUGAAAGGCAGAGGCUCAGUUAAUGCCCUCAAUUAAGAACUACAUCUCCGAGAAAGAGAAUGCCCUUGAGCUAAAAAUGUAAUUCUUGGCCUGCAGUAUCCUGGCAGAGAUUAGAGCAGACAUCUGUUCCUGCACAUGGCUCUCUGUUGACAGCUGUGUGAUGCUCACCGAAACAAGCCUUGAACUGCUCUGCUUCGCCAUCUCAACAGGUUAACUGGAACUGAGGAUUUUGUAAUACAGCUUUACGUCUGUGCAAAUGCUGUGUCCUUUAAGUUUGAGUGGCUUUGUAAACAGUGAGUAGAUGUUAGGUCCCCUGGAUUUGGGGUCAGACGAUCAGUUCUGCCACUUGACAUGUGUGUGCCCCUGUAUGUGUCCUUCCUUGUAAUAAGGAAAUAUCAACAAUGCUUCCCACACUGACUUGUUUGGAGGAUUGAGGUAAUCAUAUGCAUAAAGGAUUUAGCAUAAUCUGUAACAAAUAAUAAGUGCUGAAAAGAUAUUAGUUGUUUUAAUUAUAUUCAUACUCAUUGUUUCAAGCAAGAAUGAUUCCACAGUCAUAGAUAGUUCUGUGAAGAGUCCAACUACAGCUCUCUUGUACAGCUAAGACUUUCUGUCUGUUGUUUAAAAUAAAGUACGGUUUGUUCAACAAUAUCAUCUGUUAUACAAAAGUCAUUGUAAAAAAUCAAAUAAAUACUUAUAAUAAAUGUAUGUAUCGGGGUAUAGAUAUAACUUCAUGUUAACUUGCGACUUUUUAUUUUAUUAUUUUCUUUGAAAUAUGGGAAGGUGAGAAUGAAGAGACACUGUGGAAUUGGACCAAGAUAAAUAUGGUUUUGGUUUCUGAAGCAGGAGAUUCUGGGAAGGCGAUGACUGGAAAAGAGCUCUCUUCCCUCUACCACCAAAUCCUCUGUGUCUAUUCCUCCUGAGUCAAAUGGAUGCUCAUGUCUACAUGGAGUCUGUGUGCCAGUGAGCCAUUGUGUUCCACAGUGGCCAUGGUGUGGACAGCUAACGCACAAUCAUGAACUCUUGCACUAGGUGAGUCCCUGAAGCCAGAGUUCAUGUAGUAAAGCCAAGAAGAAACUGAAUCAUGCACAGAUCCCUCCUCUUCAUGUGGAAGAGAAUAGGAAGAGAAUGGGUGGAGAGGUUUUCUUGAGGUACUUCAAUAAAGAGAGGUUGAUUUGCUUGCUAUUAUUCUAGCAGUCUUUUCAGAGUAGAAGCCACAGACCUCACAUGACCCAUAUGAUCCAGCAACCCUGGUCUCAUCUCCCAUUCGUCUCUCACGUGCUUGCUUUCACUCCAGUUACACUAGACUCUUUCUGACCCUUAAAUGUCAGAGUCACACUCCCACCCCAGGAUCUUUGCAAUUAUUACACCCUCUGUCUUUCUCAAAUACUAGGCAAUAUACUUAUUUUAAAUUAUUAUAUUUGUGGACACAUUUAUAAAUUUAUUUUCUGCCUCUCCCAAGCCAUAUUUUCUUUAUCAGUCCUAGAAAAGGAAAGAGUUAAAAAAAAAAAUGAAAUGCUGUGCACAAUAGAGACAACUUUGGAAUUUAAGAAUAAAUUUAAUAAGAAA
ensembl:lncRNA